GUGGCCUACGGGACGCAGCAGUGGGGGAUAUUGCACAAUGGGGGAAACCCUGAUGCAGCGACGCCGCGUGAGCGAUGAAGUAUUUCGGUAUGUAAAGCUCUAUCAGCAGGGAAGAAAAUGACGGUACCUGACUAAGAAGCCCCGGCUAACUACGUGCCAGCAGCCGCGGUAAUACGUAGGGGGCAAGCGUUAUCCGGAUUUACUGGGCGUAAAGAGCGCGUAGUCGGGAGGUCAAGUCAGAUGUGAAAUC
rnacentral:rRNA from 1 species